GUGGUCUUUGUGAAUAUAUGGAAACCGACCCGCAAAUAACAUUAAAAAACGGCCAAACCAUUGUUCCAAAUGCAGACAUUAAUUGCAAAACGGUAAACCUAAUUUACUGUAUUGUAUGCAGCACUUGCAAGGAAUGGUACAUCGGACAGACUGGUAAUUCAAUUUGUCAAAGAGUCCGUAUUCACAGACAACAGAUACGAGAUCCAUCCACACGAAUGCAAGAUG
rnacentral:lncRNA from 1 species